GGUCUGGUGGUGUAGUGGUUUAUCACGUCGUUAUUAUAAUCCGAAGGACCUGGGUUCAAAUCCCAGUCAGACCA